rnacentral:rRNA from 1 species
GAUGGGUACCGGGUGUGAGAGCAUGACCCGGCUCACUGGGACUGAUACACUGCCCAGACACCUACAGGUGGCUGCAAUCCAGAAUCUACGCCAAUGGGCGCAAGCCUGACCGAACGACGCCGCGUGCGGGAUGAAGGCCUUCGUGUUGUACACCGCUGUCAGAGGGAACGACAUGCAUGGGGGCACUCCCUCAUGUUUGACCGAUCCUCAGAGGACGUACGGGCUAAGUUCGUGCCAGCCGCCGCAGUAACACGAACCGUACGAACGUUAUUCGGAAUCACUGGGCUUAAAGGGUGCGUAGGCAGCUUGGUAAGUUGAGUGUGAAAUCCCUCGGCUCAACCGAGGAAUGGCGCUCAAAACUAUCCGGGUUGAGAAAGGCAGAGGUAAUCGGAACUAAUGGUGUAGCGGUUGAAUGCGUUGAUAUCAUUAGGAACACCUGAAGCGACAGCGGCUUACUGGGCCUUUUCUGACGCUGAUGCACGAAAGCUAUGGGAGCCAACGGGAUCAGAUAGCCCGGAAGUCCUAGCUGUACACGAUGAGCACUGGAUUGAGGGGACUUCCACAUCUCCU